rnacentral:hammerhead_ribozyme from 1 species
AUCCAGCUGACGAGUGCCGAAUAGGACGAAACGCACGUAUUUGAU